rnacentral:rRNA from 1 species
CCUACGGGAGGCAGCAGUGGGGAAUAUUGGACAAUGGGGGGAACCCUGAUCCAGCCAUGCCGCGUGUGUGAAGAAGGCUUUAUGGUUGUAAAGCACUUUAAGCGAGGAGGAGGCUAYGGARACUAAUACUCUUGRAUAGUGGACGUUACUCGCAGAAUAAGCACCGGCUAACUCUGUGCCAGCAGCCGCGGUAAUACARAGGGUGCGAGCGUUAAUCGSAUUUACUGGGCGUAAAGCGUGCGUAGGCGGCUUUUUAA